CUGCAGCCCCUUGUCACCGGCCUCUGACUGUACAGCUGGGAGCGGGAGGUGGGCUAUGUGCAAUAAAAAUACCUCAAACGUGAGCACACCUCACAGGGAAAAGCUACAUAGGAUUCCUGGUUAGACAGAUUUCCAUAUGUUACAGCAGUGAACUUAACAUGUGGCUCUUACAGUAUUGCUGACUUCAACUCCCAGACUGCAAAUGGCAGCCAAAGCUACAUGUUUAAGAUCGUUUUCUACAGAAAUAUAUGAGUUUAUGAAAACCCAGGGCCCAAUAUUCAUGGGAAAUCAAAUAUUUUCAAAUCACCACAGCUCAUAUUACAUUACAGCAAAAUAAACGAAAUCCUAAUUA